rnacentral:rRNA from 1 species
GACAGAGGGUGCAAACGUUGCUCGGAAUCACUGGGCGUAAAGGGCGCGUAGGCGGGAAUGUAAGUCGGGCGUGAAAUCCCUAGGCUCAACCUAGGAACUGCACUCGAAACUGCGUUUCUUGAGUAUCGGAGAGGAAAGCGGAAUUCCUGGUGUAGAGGUGAAAUUCGUAGAUAUCAGGAGGAACACCAGUGGCGAAGGGCGGCUUUCUGGGACGG